rnacentral:rRNA from 1 species
CCUACGGGGGGCUGCAGUGGGGAAUAUUGCACAAUGGGCGCAAGCCUGACGCAGCCAUGCCGCGUGUGUGAAGAAGGCCUUCGGGUUGUAAAGCACUUUCAGCGGGGAGGAAGGCGGUGAGGUUAAUAACCUCAUCGAUUGACGUUACCUGCAGAAGAAGCACCGGCUAACUCCGUGCCAGCAGCCGCGGUAAUACGGAGGGUGCAAGCGUUAAUCGGAAUUACUGGGCGUAAAGCGCACGCAGGCGGUCUGUCAAGUCGGAUGUGAAAUCCCCGGGCUCAACCUGGGAACUGCAUUCGAAACUGGCAGGCUAGAGUCUUGUAGAGGGGGGUAGAAUUCCAGGUGUAGCGGUGAAAUGCGUAGAGAUCUGGAGGAAUACCGGUGGCGAAGGCGGCCCCCUGGACAAAGACUGACGCUCAGGUGCGAAAGCGUGGGGAGCAAACAGGAUUAGAUACCCUUGUAGUC